rnacentral:rRNA from 1 species
CCAUCAUUUAAAGAAAGCGUAAUAGCUCACUGGUCGAGUCGGCCUGCGCGGAAGAUGUAACGGGGCUAAACCAUGCACCGAAGCUGCGGCAGCGACGCUUAUGCGUUGUUGGGUAGGGGAGCGUUCUGUAAGCCUGUGAAGGUGUGCUGUGAGGUAUGCUGGAGGUAUCAGAAGUGCGAAUGCUGACAUAAGUAACGAUAAAGCGGGUGAAAAGCCCGCUCGCCGGAAGACCAAGGGUUCCUGUCCAACGUUAAUCGGGGCAGGGUGAGUCGACCCCUAAGGCGAGGCCGAAAGGCGUAGUCGAUGGGAAACAGGUUAAUAUUCCUGUACUUGGUGUUACUGCGAAGGGGGGACGGAGAAGGCUAUGUUGGCCGGGCGACGGUUGUCCCGGUUUAAGCGUGUAGGCUGGUUUUCCAGGCAAAUCCGGAAAAUCAAGGCCGAGGCGUGAUGACGAGGCACUACGGUGCUGAAGCAACAAAUGCCCUGCUUCCAGGAAAAGCCUCUAAGCAUCAGGUAACAUCAAAUCGUACCCCAAACCGACACAGGUGGUCAGGUAGAGAAUACCAAGGCGCUUGAGAGAACUCGGGUGAAGGAACUAGGCAAAAUGGUGCCGUAACUUCGGGAGAAGGCACGCUGAUACGUAGGUGAAGCGACUUGCUCGUGGAGCUGAAAUCAGUCGAAGAUACCAGCUGGCUGCAACUGUUUAUUAAAAACACAGCACUGUGCAAACACGAAAGUGGACGUAUACGGUGUGACGCCUGCCCGGUGCCGGAAGGUUAAUUGAUGGGGUUAGCGCAAGCGAAGCUCUUGAUCGAAGCCCCGGUAAACGGCGGCCGUAACUAUAACGGUCCUAAGGUAGCGAAAUUCCUUGUCGGGUAAGUUCCGACCUGCACGAAUGGCGUAAUGAUGGCCAGGCUGUCUCCACCCGAGACUCAGUGAAAUUGAACUCGCUGUGAAGAUGCAGUGUACCCGCGGCAAGACGGAAAGACCCCGUGAACCUUUACUAUAGCUUGACACUGAACAUUGAGCCUUGAUGUGUAGGAUAGGUGGGAGGCUUUGAAGUGUGGACGCCAGUCUGCAUGGAGCCGACCUUGAAAUACCACCCUUUAAUGUUUGAUGUUCUAACGUGGACCCGUGAUCCGGGUUGCGGACAGUGUCUGGUGGGUAGUUUGACUGGGGCGGUCUCCUCCUAAAGAGUAACGGAGGAGCACGAAGGUUGGCUAAUCCUGGUCGGACAUCAGGAGGUUAGUGCAAUGGCAUAAGCCAGCUUGACUGCGAGCGUGACGGCGCGAGCAGGUGCGAAAGCAGGUCAUAGUGAUCCGGUGGUUCUGAAUGGAAGGGCCAUCGCUCAACGGAUAAAAGGUACUCCGGGGAUAACAGGCUGAUACCGCCCAAGAGUUCAUAUCGACGGCGGUGUUUGGCACCUCGAUGUCGGCUCAUCACAUCCUGGGGCUGAAGUAGGUCCCAAGGGUAUGGCUGUUCGCCAUUUAAAGUGGUACGCGAGCUGGGUUUAGAACGUCGUGAGACAGUUCGGUCCCUAUCUGCCGUGGGCGCUGGAGAACUGAGGGGGGCUGCUCCUAGUACGAGAGGACCGGAGUGGACGCAUCACUGGUGUUCGGGUUGUCAUGCCAAUGGCACUGCCCGGUAGCUAAAUGCGGAAGAGAUAAGUGCUGAAAGCAUCUAAGCACGAAACUUGCCCCGAGAUGAGUUCUCCCUGACCCUUUAAGGGUCCUGAAGGAACGUUGAAGACGACGACGUUGAUAGGCCGGGUGUGUAAGCGCAGCGAUGCGUUGAGCUAACCGGUACUAAUGAACCGUGAGGCUUAACCUUACAACGCCGAAG